AAGCCGUAACAAGGUUUCCGUAGGUGAACCUGCGGAAGGAUCAUUAUGAAUCAACUGGGUGAGAUUGCUGCUGGCUCUCGGGCAUGUGCACAUCUCAUUCGAUUUACCUCUCACCUCUGUGCGCUUUUCACAGGACAGCUGGUGGUUGUAGGCCUUCAUUGUCUAAUGGCUACAGGUUGCUUUGUGUGCUUUAUAAAACCCAUAAUCAAGUUCAGAAUGUCUAUUGUUGUAUCCACACAUUUAAAUACAA
rnacentral:misc_RNA from 1 species